CUAACGUAUAGAUAAUCUACCUUUAAGAGGGGGAUAGCAGUUCGAAAGGGCUGGUAAUACCGCGUAAGAUCGAGUUGAUACUUGUUAAUUCGAUGAAAGUGGGGGAUCUUUUAGACCUCACGCUUAAAGAGGAGUCUAUAUCCUAUUAGCUAGUUGGUGAGGUAAGAGCUUACCAAGGCAAUGAUGGGUAGCCGGCCUGAGAGGGCGAUCGGCCACACGGGCACUGAGACACGGGCCCGACUCCUACGGGAGGCAGCAGUAAGGAAUAUUGGGCAAUGGGCGCAAGCCUGACCCAGCGACACCGCGUGGAAGAAGAAGGCCUUCGGGUUGUAAAUUCCUAACACGUAUUAAGAAGGUACCCUUGAUAAGACCAAGGAGUAUUAGACAAAAGUACGGGAUGAAGUCAUGGCUAACUCUGUGCCAGCAGCCGCGGUAAUACAGAGAUGGCAACCGUUGUUCGGAAUCACUGGGCUUAAAGGGCGCGUAGGCGGGAAUAUAAGUUGAUUGUGAAAGUCCAUGGCUUACCCAUGGAACGCCAUUCAAAACUGUAUUUCUUGAGAACAGUAGGGGUGAGUGGAACUUCUGGUGGAGCGGUGAAAUGUGUUGAUAUCAGAAGGAACGCCGAGGCGAAAGCGACUCUCUGGACUGUUUCUGACGCUGAGGUGCGAAAGCUAGGGGGGCAAACGGGAUUAGAUACCCCGGUAGUCCUAGCCGUAAACGAUGAGUACUAGGUGGGGGCGCGUAAGCGUCUCUGCUGUAGCAAAAGUAUUAAGUACUCCGCCUGGGGAGUAUGGUCGCAAGGCUGAAACUCAAAGGAAUUGACGGGGGCUCGCACAAGCGGUGGAGCAUGUGGUUUAAUUCGAACCAACGCGAAGAACCUUACCUGGACUUGACAUUGUAGGAUUAAUGUAUUGAAAGAUACAGGACACUCUUCGGAGCGGAACUACAACAGGUGUUGCAUGGCUGUCGUCAGCUCGUGCCGUGAGGUGUUGGGUUAAGUCCCAUAACGAGCGAAACCUUUAUCCUUAGUUGCCAGCGAGUAAUGUCGGGGACUCUAGGGAGACUGCGUACGUUAAGUGCGAGGAAGGUGGAGACGACGUCAAGUCAUCAUGGCCCUUAUGUCCAGGGCUACACACGUGCUACAAUGGCUAUGACAAAGGGACGCGAAGUUGAAAAGCGGAGCAAAUCUCAAAAACAUAGUCUCAGUUCGGAUUGAGGGCUGCAAUUCGCCCUCAUGAAGUUGGAAUCGCUAGUAAUCGUGGGUCAGCGAUACCACGGUGAAUGUGUUCCCGAGCCUUGUACACACCGCCCGUCAAGCCACCGAAGCAGGGGGAGCCUGAAGUCGCUGACUGAACCGCUUUUUAUUAAGCGGGCAGAGGUGCCCAAGGAAUCUUCUGUGACGGGGACUAAGUCGUAACAA
rnacentral:rRNA from 1 species